rnacentral:rRNA from 1 species
UACGAGUGCCCCGAGCGUUAUCCGGAAUUACUGGGCGUAAAGCGUGCGCAGGCGGUUUUGUAAGCCAGAUGUGAAAUCCCCGGGCUUAACCUGGGAAUGGCAUUUGGGACUGCAAGGCUGGAGUUUGGCAGAGGAGACUGGAAUUCCUGGUGUAGCAGUGAAAUGCGUAGAUAUCAGGAGGAAUACCGAUGGCGAAGGCAGGUCUCUGGGCUAUAACUGACGCUCAUGCACGAAAGCGUGGGGAGCAAACAGG